GAUGAACGCUGGCGGCGUGCCUAAUACAUGCAAGUCGAGCGAACGGACGAGAAGCUUGCUUCUCUGAUGUUAGCGGCGGACGGGUGAGUAACACGUGGAUAACCUACCUAUAAGACUGGGAUAACUUCGGGAAACCGGAGCUAAUACCGGAUGAUAUUUUGAACCGCAUGGUUCAAAAGUGAAAGACGGUCUUGCUGUCACUUAUAGAUGGAUCCGCGCUGCAUUAGCUAGUUGGUAAGGUAACGGCUUACCAAGGCAACGAUGCAUAGCCGACCUGAGAGGAUGAUCAGCCACACUGGAACUGAGACACGGUCCAGACUCCUACGGGAGGCAGCAGUAGGGAAUCUUCCGCAAUGGGCGAAAGCCUGACGGAGCAACGCCGCGUGAGUGAUGAAGGUCUUCGGGUCGUAAAACUCUGUUGUUAGGGAAGAACAUAUGUGUAAGUAACUGUGCACGUCUUGACGGUACCUAAUCAGAAAGCCACGGCUAACUACGUG
rnacentral:rRNA from 1 species